rnacentral:lncRNA from 1 species
UCCGUGAAUUCAUCUGGAAUAGUUAAGCUAUCCCCUAUGUCAAUUCCUGUAGAAUGUUUCCAGAAACGGAUAAUUUCCUCAAUGUCUGUAACAGGAUUAAAUAAGAAGUAGUCUCUCCAUUCAUUCCAGUCCACUGUCAUUGUCCCAUCAACAUCAAUGCUUUGAAGAAUCAACUCUGCUUGUUGUUCAGAAAUAGUCAGACCCAGUGUCUGGAGAGACUGGACAAUUUCUGAAGCCUCAAUUUUUCCAUCAUUAUUUUUGUCUAAACUCUUAAAUGCCAAUUUCAUUUUCUUCUCAUGGUCUUUAAGGUACUUCAUAAAUUCUUCAAAAUCCAGCUUCCCAUCUUUGUU